CGGGGAGGCUGCGGCGGGCGCGCUGGCAGAGCGGCCGGGGCGGGCGGCCGGCGGGGGUCAGCGUCCUGCGGCGGCUGGAGGGGCGGCACCCACGUCCAACGGAGGUAUUUAAUGUGCCUGGGAGAUCUGCCAGGAAAGUCACUGAAAUCAAAGCAAACAGCCAACGCAAAGGAGCAGAAAGGAAUUGAUGGGCUAAGGAAAACAUGAGGGCUGCUUGUUCCUUGCAGAUGAGCCUAAUGAGGUGCUGAAGGAGUUGUGGAGUUCUGUGCUCCGGGCCGCAUCACCUACGCCAGGCAGAGAUGGCACAGAGAGAAGAAAGGGACACGGCUCCCAGGCGCCCUGCCACGGAAUCCCCUGUGAACCUUAGCUCCUUCCACAAACUGGGAGAAUGCUUCCUUUUGCUCAGAAGCCUGAAGCAAAGGAUCUCGGGUGCUUGGGGUCCUUGGAUGACUGCCUCCCCAGAAGCCUUUCGGGGGAAACAGGAAGAGGCGGCUUCUGACAGGAGCCAGCUGUGACCCAAGCUGGUUCCUCUUUUCAGAGAUGUCAAAGCUGAGACUCAGGGCAGAGCUGGGAUUCCAGAGAUGGCCCUCCUGGCAACUCACACCUGGAGCAGUGACCACGCCUCUCCCCCUGCAGGGAACUGGAGGACUCAUGGGGCUCCUGUCCCUCCAGUUUUAAUCCUCCUCUGUAAUCAAGUUAAGCUCGGUCCUCGUGGAAUGGCAAUGUCACGAUCACCAUCUGCUUUUCUGGGCAGCUUUAAAAUACUCUAAGUUAGCAGGCUCAUGUACUUUUGAUAAAAGGAAAUAACUUUU